rnacentral:sRNA from 1 species
GAAUACUAGUGUUAAGAGAAGAAGAAGCACUAGUGUGAGAUGUAGCAGCAUAGCUACAUGGGGAAGAAGAUGACGAUAAAAUUAGGGAUUUCGAAAUUGAAUUGGGGAUUUUGUUGUUUCAUUUUAAAUAAAACGACGUCGUUUUCGCUAUUAACAGAAAUAAUUAACGUCUGCUAACGGCGGUUAUCGGAUCCAUUAAUGCCAGUUAACGUCUCGGGGAUUUUGGCCUGGUCAACAUUUUGAUUUGUGUUAAAUGGCGGUCAACGUUUUUAUCAUGUUUUAUUUGGCCGAUCGCAAAGUUUACGUAUUGAAUGACCACUUUUUGAAAGUUCACGUAUAAAACGACAUUUUUCCCAUUUUUAUUUGUAUUUGUUACUGUAUAUUGGU